UGUAGAAAGACGCAUUUUACAUGCAGCACGAACGCGAGUAGGGUCAAAUGGUCCCAAAUGCCACUGUAAGAAUUUGUGUCGUUUUCUCCUAAUGAGAUCCACAUAUUAACGCCAUUCGAAGUCCUAACAGUAACUUUACAAUACUUGCUAGCUUCAUCAUGAAAACAUUUUCCAAAUUUAAGUUUGGAAAUCAUUCCCAGAACGUUUCAAUAGACCAUUUCCGUCAGACCUGACACCAUAUUUUUAUAUUUUUUCUGGGAAGAUAAUGAUAUCGAACUAAAAUUUCCGUUGUUAUUUUUUGUUUUUAUGCAUUCUUGAUUGUUUUUACAAAUUUUCAAAAAUUGACUAUUUCACCACUUUUGGAGGCAUGCGGAACGAAAAUAGUAACCCUAAGAGUGGUGAAUAAAUCCUAAAACUGGUAACCCUAUGAGCAGCUGUUAUUAACGUUUUGAAACGUCAAAAAACAACUCAAUUCACAACAAGCGGCAAACGUAUUACUGGAGCGAUUUGUAGGGUCCCAGCUACGGCAUCCGGUUUGUAACGUCGGAGUUUAAAGUGAUAUCUGCAAGAAGUGUUGUCGACUAUGGGCUCGAACUUACUGGACACGAAAACGAAACGAGAUUGAACGACCCGGCCAACCGAAGUGGGAUGUAUCCGUCCGGAAGCUUGCAAAUGGGUCACGUUAGAGUGUACACGAUUAGCGAUGCGAUUACUGAGUACCAACGACUGAACGGCUUUGCUGCCCCCGAUGGGUUAGGAUGCGUUUGGGCUGCCAGUAGAGAUUGCGAUCAUGCAGCGGAAAAUUGCGGUGGAUAAAUCGAUCAAGCAGAAGUCAGAACAUAGAGCAGAUGCGAGAACAGAACAACUGCAGUUGUUGCUGAUGAUGUAUGCGGAUGGAACUUGAGAUGGAGUAGAGUAUCAGAAGAAGGCUCCCUGACCUGAUACUGUUGAUGAGAUGAUGUUGGCCGAUGAGCAAAAUGAUGACAAUGAAUGCGGUGCCAAAGUGAAGAAAAAGGUUUUUGAUACAAUGGUAUUUUAAAACCACGAGAUUUGCGAAAACAUUUCACGAUGGGGGGCUGAUCUUGGAAAUACAGAAUCAAGCUACAAAAGCACUAAAUUGGAAAA